rnacentral:rRNA from 1 species
CACGUAGGGUGCGAGCGUUGUCCGGAAUUAUUGGGCGUAAAGAGCUCGUAGGCGGUUUGUCGCGUCUGCCGUGAAAGUCCGGGGCUCAACUCCGGAUCUGCGGUGGGUACGGGCAGACUAGAGUGAUGUAGGGGAGACUGGAAUUCCUGGUGUAGCGGUGAAAUGCGCAGAUAUCAGGAGGAACACCGGUGGCGAAGGCGGCAUCCUGGACCGGUAUUGACGCUGAGGCGCGAAAGCUAGGGGAGCAAACGGG